CCUACGGGACGCAGCAGUGAGGAAUAUUGGUCAAUGGACGAGAGUCUGAACCAGCCAAGUAGCGUGAAGGAUGACUGCCCUAUGGGUUGUAAACUUCUUUUAUAUGGGAAUCAAACGUUCCACGUGUGGGAUUUUGUAUGUACCAUAUGAAUAAGGAUCGGCUAACUCCGUGCCAGCAGCCGCGGUAAUACGGCGGAUCCGAGCGUUAUCCGGAUUUAUUGGGUUUAAAGGGAGCGUAGGUGGAUUGUUAAGUCAGUUGUGAAAGUUUGCGGCUCAACCGUAAAAUUGCAGUUGAAACUGGCAGUCUUGAGUACAGUAGAGGUGGGCGGAAUUCGUGGUGUAGCGGUGAAAUGCUUAGAUAUCACGAAGAACUCCGAGUGCGAAGGCAGUUCACUGGACUGCAACUGACACUGAGGCUCGAAAGUGUGGGUAUCAAACAGGAUUAGAUACCCCUGUAGUC
rnacentral:rRNA from 1 species